rnacentral:rRNA from 1 species
AUUGAACGCUAGCGGGAUGCUUUACACAUGCAAGUCGAACGGAGUGCCGGACGGGUGAGUAAUAUAUCGGAACGUUCCCAGUAGCGGGGGAUAACUACUCUAAAGAGUGGCUAAUACCGCAUACUCUUUGAUCGGCCCAUAUCGGAUUAGCUAGGUGGUGGGGUAAAGGCUCACCAAGGCAACGAUCCGUAGCUGGUUUGAGAGGACGACCAGCCACACGGGGACUGAGACACGGCCCAGAAGCCUACGGGAGGCAGAAGUGGGGAAUGUUGGACAAUGGGGGAAACCCUGAUCCAGCCAUCCCGCGUGUAUGAGGAAGGCCUUCGGGUUGUAAAGUACUUUUGGCGGAGAAGCGGUAUCUGCAGAAUAAGCACCGGCUAACUACGUGCCAGCAGCCGCGGUAAUUC